rnacentral:rRNA from 1 species
AUUGAACGCUGGCGGCAUGCCUUACACAUGCAAGUCGAACGGCAGCGGGGGAGAAGCUUGCUUUUCCUGCCGGCGAGUGGCGAACGGGUGAGUAAUACAUCGGAACGUGCCCUGUAGUGGGGGAUAACUAGUCGAAAGAUUAGCUAAUACCGCAUACGACCUGAGGGUGAAAGUGGGGGACCGCAAGGCCUCAUGCUAUAGGAGCGGCCGAUGUCUGAUUAGCUAGUUGGUGGGGUAAAGGCCUACCAAGGCGACGAUCAGUAGCUGGUCUGAGAGGACGAUCGGCCACACUGGGACUGAGACACGGCCCAGACUCCUACGGGAGGCAGCAGUGGGGAAUUUUGGACAAUGGGCGAAAGCCUGAUCCAGUAAUGCCGCGUGUGUGAAGAAGGCCUUCGGGUUGUAAAGCACUUUUGUCCGGAAAGAAAUGGCUCUGGUUAAUACCUGGGGUCGAUGACGGUACCGGAAGAAUAAGGACCGGCUAACUACGUGCCAGCCGCCGCAGUAA